rnacentral:lncRNA from 1 species
AGUACUCUUGAUAAGACACGGUGUUAUUUGGGUAUAGUGAUAGGAUGGAGUAGGAUAGGAUGGAGUAGUAUUCUUGAAAGGAUGUAAAGCAAAAGGCCCCACAGCUUAAGGUAUCACCUUUUAACUCUAGAUUAGGCUCUAACAUGGAAGCAGUGUAUAGUUAGACUCAGGCUCUUGUAAUGAUAUGUUUUAUUAGGAAACUAUAAGAUUGAAA